rnacentral:lncRNA from 1 species
GGUACGGAGAAGUCGCGACUAAGCUUAACCUGCAAAGAUCGAUCGCCUUACGAAUUGGAUCCCGGUGUCGUCUAGAAUCCCAACCCCCGCCGACGCGAAGUUAGCGCCAACAAGCAGCUUCUCCCCUCGCAGCUCGGGGCUGAGGUAAGGCAGUGUGGGUUCACCUCCAAGUUGUUCACCUGAGACAUGCAUGCUACGACUGUUAGGCUGUCACGAUGAUGUUUCACUCACAAAUACGUGGGAGUUGCAGACGGGAACACUUCACUCAUAACGUCAGCUAUGUUACGGCCAUUGGAGAAUCUCCCUGUCGGCCGGUGAGACGGGGAAUCGAUGCCGUAAGGAAUGUUGUCAGCUCGAGCAGUGGUCGCCAAGUAGUUGUUGUUGCCACUGUCGACGAG